AUUGAACGCUGGCGGGAUGCUUUACACAUGCAAGUCGAACGAGUGGCGGACGGGUGAGUAAUAUAUCGGAACGUGCCCAGUAGCGGGGGAUAACUACUCGAAAGAGUGGCUAAUACCGCAUACUCUUGGAGCGGCCGAUAUGGGAUUAGCUAGUUGGUGGGGUAAAGGCUCACCAAGGCAACGAUCCGUAGCUGGUUUGAGAGGACGACCAGCCACACUGGGACGUAGACACGGCCCAGACUCCUACGGUAGGCAGCAGUGGGGAAGAUUGGACAAUGGGGGAAACCCUGAUCCAGCCAUCCCGCGUGUAUGAGAAGGCCUUCGGGUUGUAAAGUACUUUUGGCAGAGAAGCGGUAUCUGCAGAAUAAGCACCGGCUAACUCCGUGCCAGCAGCCGCGGUAAUUC
rnacentral:rRNA from 1 species